rnacentral:rRNA from 1 species
UACAGAGGGUGCAAGCGUUAAUCGGAAUUACUGGGCGUAAAGGGCGCGUAGGUGGUUGAAUAAGUUUGAUGUGAAAUCCCUGGGCUUAACCUAGGAAGUGCAUUGAAGACUGUUUAACUGGAGUACUGUAGAGGGUAGUGGAAUUUCCGGUGUAGCGGUGAAAUGCGUAGAGAUCGGAAGGAACACCAGUGGCGAAGGCGGCUACCUGGACAGAUACUGACACUGAGGCGCGAGAGCGUGGUAGCAACAGG